rnacentral:rRNA from 1 species
UACGUAGGGUCCGAGCGUUGUCCGGAAUUAUUGGGCGUAAAGAGCUCGUAGGCGGUUUGUCGCGUGUGCUGUGAAAUCCCGAGGCUCAACCUCGGGCCUGCAGUGGGUACGGGCAGACUGGAGUGCGGUAGGGGAGAAUGGAAUUCCUGGUGUAGCGGUGAAAUGCGCAGAUAUCAGGAGGAACACCGGUGGCGAAGGCGGGUCUCUGGGCCGAUACUGACGCUGAGGAGCGAAAGCGUGGGGAGCAAACAGG